AUCUGGGCGGCGGAAUUCAGGAUGGCGGACGUGCCGUUCGCGCGGCGCGUUCGUCGUUUGAUAUUUCCGUCGCCGAUGAACAAUGCAGACGUCGCGACCUGUUCGCGGUCGGUCCCUGCUCGGAGGAGCCGCGUUCGAGUUCGUUGCGGGGCGCGUUUACGCGCGUUUCGCGGCGAAGGCGCGGAAAUCUGGCUGACCGGCGGACAGUACGCUCGAACGGGUGUCCGGUGUUCGUCGUCUCGUACGCGCGACUCCGGUACCGGUCGGCGACGAAUUCUUCGGGCCUCUUUCCGACCCGUCUUGAAACACGGACCAAGGAGUCUAACAUGCGCGCGAGUCGCGGGGUGUCGAGCGUACCGCCGGUACGUUCGUUACGUUGCGAAACCCGUACAUAUCGAAGGCGUAAUGAAAGUGAACAGGGAAGAUGGUGUUCCGAGUACACGUUCCGCGAUCGUCGGUAUCGCGGCCGGACAUCCGCAUUCCCGGGGCGUCUCAGCGGCCCGUCGCGAAUGCGGACGGUCGUCUCUUUGGGGGCGGCCGUCGGUCCGCGACGAACCGA
rnacentral:rRNA from 1 species